AACGAACGCUGGCGGCAGGCCUAACACAUGCAAGUCGAGCGAAGCCUUCGGGCUUAGCGGCGGACGGGUGAGUAACGCGUGGGAACGUGCCCUUUGGUACGGAAUAGCCCCGGGAAACUGGGAGUAAUACCGUAUGUGGUCGAGAGACGAAAGAUUUAUCGCCAAAGGAUCGGCCCGCGUUGGAUUAGGUAGUUGGUGGGGUAAUGGCCUACCAAGCCGACGAUCCAUAGCUGGUUUGAGAGGAUGAUCAGCCACACUGGACUGAGACACGGCCCAGACUCCUACGGGAGGCAGCAGUGGGGAAUCUUAGACAAUGGGGGAAACCCUGAUCUAGCCAUGCCGCGUGAUCGAUGAAGGCCUUAGGGUUGUAAAGAUCUUUCAGUGGGGAAGAUAAUGACUGUACCCACAGAAGAAGCCCCGGCUAACUCCGUGCCAGCCGCCGCGGUAAUAC
rnacentral:rRNA from 1 species